rnacentral:lncRNA from 1 species
AGUGGGAGCCAGGCUGGAGUCCGCUGGUGGAAGACAGGACACAGGCUGGAAAGGAAAACCCAACACGAUGACUGCCCCUCGCAGGCCACAGUCAGCCCGGCCCCAGGAGAGAGACCCGUGGAGCCCUAUGUCUCAGCAGGCAAGGUAGGGGGACGGGGCAGGGGCAGGGAGGUCCCCGAGUGCUGGCCAGGGGAGGAAUCUGCAGUGGUUGCCGGCUAAGGAGGGUCUGCCCUGGCCCCUGGGGCAUGGAGGCCCCACAGCCAGGCCCCACCCCCAGCUCCUGGGACCUGCUGGCCUUUUAGGAGACGGGGGAGGCUGGGCCUGACCUCUCUGCAGGUGGUGUCACUGCAGGGCCACACUGCACUGUGCUGGUUGUUGUCCAGGGUGGGCAGAUAGAGGGAUGUGGACGGUGGGAGCCAGGGGAAGGGCAGAAGGGGACACUGGGCCACCCUGGAGAAGCCAGGUCAGGGCUGGCCCAGCAGGAUGGGGGCUCUCUGCCUCUAUGGCCAGCAUUCCCAGCUGAGUCCCCAACUCUGCAGCCAGGAAGCCCCGUAGUGUGAAGGAUGGGGACAUCGCGAUGCCCUGGCCCUGAGCCCACCAGGUGGCCCCAGGGCCCCACCCUGCCUGGCUCUUCCUGCAUGGGUCUGGGGUGAUGGGGGCUCAUCUGAGGCCCAGUGCUGCCCACCUCGAAUCCCCAAAUCCCAAAUUGGAUUAGUUGUGUUUAGAAAGCAGCAAAGCUGCUAUAUUUGAGCAAAGGCUCAGCAGAUUACCCUGGGCCAAGAGGGUGUCUGCCUGUGUGAGGGGGAUUUGAGGAGGAAAAACUGCACUAAACAAGUGUUCAUUGAAAAGAAACUUGGGGGAUCAUCUGAGUCAGCCGGGCCCUCCACCUGCCCCAUAACACCUUCUCCAGCAUGGGCUCCUGCUGCUGCUGGGACAACCAAGCAGGAGUGGACGGGGUCAGGCCACAGGCCACUGGGCCCAAGGCCAGGAAGGGGCGCCCAGGACUGCCCAUGGGAGAAGGGCGUGGUGCCGACACGAGGUCACCUGGAGUCCCUGGGACUGGCCCUCCACCUCGUGACUCAGUCGCCACCCGGUGGCCCUCUCAGAAGCCCAGGGCCCAGCAUACAGGAAGCUCCAUGAGUGCUCAUCAUCACACACACUCCAGAGGCUGAGAACAUCUUGGAGGCCUGGGGCCUGCUGGCCAGACCCUGUCCUGGGCCCUGAACACAGGCUGGGCCUGGAAGGGACAGUGAGGGGGGCCAGAGCCCAUGCCUGCUCAGUGCAGCAAGCCCAGGCACCUGGUGGGUGGGCCCUGCAGCCAGGGAGGCCCCUGCACCCCACCCUUCCCAGCCCUGCCCUGGGUACCGUGUGCCACAUCUCAGAGCCCACCCAUGGGGCCCUCCCAACUCCAGCCAGGAGGGAGGAUAGAGAACUUUUAUUUCAGAAGAGUGCAAAUAAACAAAUCCUUCCUUCCCCCACCAUAAAGAGCCCGGCUGGCUUUAGGAGAGAAGGCAGAAUUUUUAGCCUCUCCUUUCCUCAAGGCACAGCAGGCCGAGCCUGUGUCACUCAUGGCCCCUUUUACAAGUAAAGAAUCCAGCUCUGGGCAGUCAGGUCUGCCCAGUGGAGGUGUUUGCCCUGGGGGGCCGGCUCACCUAUCCGUAGGACCUGGCUCCUAGGGGUCCAGCCAGUCCCUGGCCUCCUGUUGAUACGGAAAGGAAGUGCUGAGAAGGGAAAAGCGUGGUCCCUUUAAAUGAUACAGAGGAGGGACGGGAAGUGCUCCGUAGAGAAGGGCGUGGUCCCUGCCUAGGGCUCCACCCCCACGAACCUAGGUGAGGACAGGCAUUUCCUGCCCAAAUGUUGCAUUUCCCAAGACCACCCUGGCCUGCCAUGCCUCCAUCCUAUGCCUAUAAAAACCCAAGACCCUAGCAAGGCAGAGACAGAAGCCUCUGUGUGGGGAGAGGAACACACUGGUGGAAGAAGACAAGCUGCUGGACAUCCCGAGAAUGUUGCCUGACUCCAGGGGAAAACCAUCUCCCCUCUGGCUCCCCCAUCUGCUGAGAGCUACUUCCACUCAAUAAAACCUUGCACUCAUUCUCCAAGCCCACGUGUGAUCCAAUUUUUUGGUACACCAAGGCAAGAAACCCUGGGAUACAGAAAUUCCUCUGUCCUUGUUAUAAGGCAGGGGUCUAAUUGAGCUCACUCUCACCAGCCACCUACAGACCGCUAGACUAAAAGACCACCCGGUAACGCACUCCCACUGGGGUUUCAAGAGCUGUAAACAUUCACCCCCAGACACUGCCAUGGGGUCAGAGCCCCACAGCCUGCCCGUCUGUAUGCUCCCCUAGAGGUGUGAGCGGUGGGGCACUGAAGAAGCGAGCCACUCCCCCGCUGCAUGCCCUGCGCCCUGCGCGGGGUAACCAGGGAACCCUUCCUGUUUCACUGUUUCACUGGGUAGAGAUCUCCCGGCUGGAGACAGAAUGGUGGGGAGAGGCCAGAUGUGCCCAGCAGGUAGGGGAUUCUCCAGGGGGGAGGCUGAGGCUGUUAGGAAAGGAGGGGCUGAGGGGGCGCCACAGCCCUCCCCGCUCCGCACCACACCCCACGUUAAACCCCUGUCCUCCACUCCUCUCCUGGGGCUAAGGAGGCUGAGAGUAGAGCUCAGAGGCCCACGCCCAGCACACAGGAGGCAGUGGGGGCUGUGGACGGGGCCAACGAGCCAUGGGGUUGCUGGGCUGAAGCACCGGUGAUGGCAGGCGUGUGAGAGGGAAGUGGGGGUGAGCCAGCCCUGUGGGCCUCUAGGCCCAGCUUCUGGGUAUCCUGGCCCCCUGGAAUGACCCAGGGCAGGAGCCUCUGACACCCGCCCCAAAUGCCUGUGACCCCGUCCUGAGUGGGGGUCCUCCUUCUGGCCGUGACCGCCCUGGAGUGGCUUCUCAGCAUUUUGUGGUCAGCACUCUCAGCCCCUCUGCCUUGCACCGUGUCAUUUUCAGCAGAUCCUGAGCCAGAGAAGGCCAUCAAUUAUUCAGCUCCUGCCUCUCAGCCUCCUCCGUUAGUACCUCUUAAAGCCGGGAAGAUAAAUCUCUCCGCUUGCUCCGUGGCGCCGACAGGAAGCAGGGCGGCACCAGGACCGUGACAGGCCCCGGCUGGGCCCCGGUUUCCCGAGCCAGCACAGGCGGCCUGCAAGGCUUCUCUGCUAUUAAAUCCAUAAUUCAGCGGCAACGCAGCUGGGGCCUGGCACACAGGGUCCCUGUGAUGAGGAGGGGCUGCCCCUGCCGGAAUGCACCAGAGGCUGCCACCAGGGAGAGAGUUACAAGGACCACUUCCGUGGACCUGGCAGGUCCUAGGGCCCCCUUUAAAAUUGUGCCUGGGGAGAGUCCCUGGCGCUGCUCCGGAGGAUCAUGGAGCCCGACUCUACUCACAGGGGAGACCACACAGCUUCUGCGGGGCAAGACAGCUGAGGAGCAUGUCAGGCAAGCGACGGGCAUGGGGGGUGGGGGGGAGCACAGCGUGGUCUGCAUGCCCUCAGCCACGCCCAGGGUGACCCUGGAGGCCUGCAUGGAAGACCCUGGAAGCGUCCUUGGCCACCCCUGGUGGAAGAGACAGCUCCAGCCUCACCUUUCUAGGACAGUGCCAUCUGCCACCAAGGCAGCUCCAGAGAGUGGGACAGCUGUGAGAGGCGGGACCUGUCCAGGCUCCCUGAUGGGCACUCACAGCCCCCUUCACCCUCAGCGAGGCACUUGCCCCAAUGAAAACUGAGCAGUUGGACAAUCUGAUGUCUUGGAGGGUCCAGGUCAGCCCCCCACCCCAAUGCCCAGCCCUGCAUAACCAAGGAAGCGUUUGUUGAAUGGCUGAGUCCCACCCCUGCUCCAACCUUGGCAGGCCUUGGAGUGUCCCCGGCAGGAAGUGGAGGGUGAACACAGGGGGACAAAGUAACAGGGCAGCAGAGCUGGGGUGGGGCCAGGCUGGGCAGACUGGGGAAUGAGACCUACUCAGAACACCGCCCUCGGCAGAGCCACCCACCCCUAUCCUUGCAAACCCUCUGCCCCAGGGCCCACUCUAAACCCAUGAGAGCUGUGGCAGGACAGGGUGACUCCAGGCCUGGCCAGGAGGCUCCGGCUGACUCCGCCCCCUUCUCCUUCCCCUCCCCACUUCCCAUUCCACAGGCCUCCACAGGGCAGGGGCCGUGACAGGGGUGACAGAAGUUCGGAGAGGUCACUGAGUCCCUGCAAUUAGCAGUAAUGAGUUGACACAUGCCACAGGUCAAGUGCUAAUGCAGGCUGAUAAUUAACUCAACCUGCUAGGAAGCGGUGCAGCCCCUCCUCCCUCUGAUCAAUUAUCCUCAGGAUGUUGAACAGCCCCGCCCCAGGGCUAAUGGGGUCACAUUCCAACCAUAAUGACGUGGCUGCUGCACCAGAAACACUGGGCUGGUGCCGGGAACACCCCCAUCCCAGACUGGAGACCUCCCCCAGCCCCUCCAGAUGAGGGUCCUGCCCUGCUCACUGGCUCCUGCCCCAACCCUGCUCCUGGGGCCUUCCUGACUCGCCACCUUGCACUUCCCAGGGACAGUACACCCAGCAGCCUGUCCCAGCCUAUGUCUCAGCAGACCAGGCUCUGCGAGACACCCCCUCCAGCCUCCACCUCCCAGCACUGCCUCCAGAACAGGGGCCAUUCAGACUCGUGGCUUGCUGUCCUCUGCCCUGCAUCUCAGGCUGCUCCCAGCCCAUGUCCAGUUUUGGGUGCUAGCCACAGUGCUACACUGACCAUCUGGUACCUGCUUCUGCCACAGCUUCGGGGCCCUCCUGGGGCCAGCCAGCCCUGGACAAAGCAGACCCGACCCCUCCCUCCCUCUGGGCCUUGACCUCUGUUUCUGUUGCCAGCUGUGGUACCUGAGCCAGCAGCAACCCAAACAGGGAAGCAAGAAACUCUGUAGCUGCUUCUGUGCCUCUUUCUUCUUGGGGACAAGCCAAGCCUGUGUCUCCAUCUCACUCAAUCGUCGGGUCUGUGCCCAAGGUCAGGGCCAUCGUGCUCCAUCCAUGGGCCGGCCUUGUCUUAGAGGCCGAGGGGCCUGGCCCCAUCUGUGCCUGGCUUGGUAACAGUUCUGCAGUGUCCCAGGAAUAUUCCCUUGCCCAUCUCAGGACAGGAGCUCACUCUGAGGGCCUGCCCCUCUUUGGGAACUACCCCCUCUGGCAGCUGGGGGUGAGCAUGCUAGGUCUCAGUGAGCACAUCUCUCAGGUCCCUGACCCCUGGGCACCCCCGUAGGCUUCUUGUAUUGCCGGGGGGCAGGAAUGGGCCCCUCCUGCAUGCUGCCCCCACAUGGUAGGGCCCAGACCUCCGUCUCCCCUGCAGUCCCACAGCCCCUGCCAAGGGCAUCUGCGACUGGAAACUCCACCGCGGUGAUCCUGAGCUGCUGGGAAGAUGGGUUUUGAUGGUACCGCUGCUCAGAGGGCAAGGGGCACCAGUGCCAGCCACCACAUCAGGCACCAUCUGCUGGUGCAGGAGGCCGGUGAGGGAGCCGAGGGGACACUCAGUUCAGAACGUCCUCUGCCCUGUGGCAGCGAGAUUGUUGCGGCUUCACAGCAAGCAAAUGCACGUUCCAUGGGCUUAAUUCUAUCAAUCCCCAAAGACCUGAUGGCCCCUGCGUGCGGGGUGUCGCGCUUCAGUGCACACGGGGGGCCUUAAGCAGCGAGGUCCACACAGACCCCAGGAGUGGCCAGGAACCCUCUAGGGUCUGUGGCACUCAGGCCAGAGGCUGGGAAUUCAGAGCCUUAUGACCAAGGGGCCCAGGAAGUCCUUGAGAAGAAUCACCUCUGAAACAUUCUGGGAGCGCCUCCCAGGCAGCCGGCACUACACGGGGCAC